GUUUCAGGAAAUUGGAGCCCUCCGGGGCUUAGCUCUGUGAAGCCAGAGGCUGCUUCCCUGGCAUUGUCUGCGCUCCACACAGUCACCGCUCACAAGUGUUCAGUGCCAGCCCGGGACAAGGAGCCUCCUAGGAUGUGGGCCUUCCAGUGCGAAAAAUGGACAAUCUGGCUCACCUAGGAGCACUGCAGUCUUCUGGCAGUGAAAAGAAGCAUGGACCUGAUACAGCGACGACAACCUCCGAGCAUGACUCUAAGUGACAGGGCCAUCACCAAAGGCCACACGUGAGUGUGUGAUUCCACCCGCAGGAGGCUGCAGAACAGGGUCACCAGCUCCGGCCCUGGGACUUGAACACAGCUGAGCCCUCCCCGCGUCUCCUGCAGUAAGAAAGCUGCAGUGCCGGGCAGCUGGAUUUGCUCCUCAAAGAGAUGCGUCCCAGUCCUGACCCUCGGUGCCCGGGAAGGUGGCCUCUUCGGCGUGGAAGCCCUUUGCAGGUGUGAGUGAGGGGCCAGAGGAGCUCGCCCUGGAGUCAGGACACGGAGAUCCUGAACACAGCCAUCCUCACGGGCAGGACGGUGGCCAUGCCUGUCCGGGUGGUGUCGGUGGAGGAGCACGG
rnacentral:lncRNA from 1 species